AUUGAACGCUAGCGGGAUGCCUUACACAUGCAAGUCGAACGGAGUGGCGAACGGGUGAGUAAUGUAUCGGAACGUGCCCAGUAGCGGGGUAUAACUACGCGAAAGCGUAGCUAAUACCACAUACUAUUGGAGCGGCCUAUAUCUGAUUCGCUAGUUGGUGGGGUAACGGCUCACCAAGGCGACGAUCCGUAGCUUGUUUGAGAGGACGACCAGCCACACUGGGACUGAUAAACGGCCCAGACUCCUACGGGAGGCAGCAGUGGGUAAUAUUGGACAAUGGGGGAAACCCUGAUCCAGCCAUCCCGCGUGUGUGAUGAAGGCCUUCGGGUUGUAAAGCACUUUUGGCAGGAAAGCGGUACCUGCAGAAUAAGCACCGGCUAACUACGUGCCAGCAGCCGCGGUAAUUC
rnacentral:rRNA from 1 species